UGGGAUUAGAUACCCCACUAUAGGAAGCAAAAAUACUAAUUGAAGCACUAAAACCAACAGGUUAAAACUUAAAGAGCAUGGCGGCGAGUUUAAUUUUUCAGGGGAAUUUACCAGGUAAUUGACAACCCACAUGGAACCUCUCUUAGCCUAAUAGUUUGUAUGCCGCCGUCUUCAGAUAACACCUAAGGUAUUGUCGGCCCUCUACCGGAGACAAGACAGGUCAUGGUGCAGCUUAUGGCUGAGUGCUAGGUGAGUUACAGUAACUAUUUUCUUCCGCUACGAGACUUAAAUUUAUCUUGUAAAAGAUGGACUUGAAAGUAAAAUAAACUAUUAAUACGCUUUGAAUUAAGAUUAGACACGUGCACACACCGCCCGUCACCC
rnacentral:rRNA from 1 species